rnacentral:rRNA from 1 species
GACGAACGCUGGCGGCGUGCCUAAUACAUGCAAGUCGAACGCAGUGGGGACGGGUGAGUAACAAGUGGGUAACCUCCCAUCAGAGGGGAUAACACUUGGAAACAGGUGCUAAACCGAUACUGAUGGAUGGACCCGCGGUGCAUUAGCUAGUUGGUGGGGUAACGGCUAACCAAGGCCACGAUGCAUAGCCGACCGGAGAGGUUUAUCGGCCACACUUGGACUGAGACACGGCCCAGACUCCUACGGGAGGCAGCAGUUGGGAUGAUUGCACAAUGGGCGCAAGCCUGAUGCAGCCAUGCCGCGUGUAUACAGAAGGCCUUCGGGUUGUAAAGUACUUUCAGCGGGGAGGCGUUACCCGCAGAAGAAGCACCGGCUAACUCCGUGCCAGCAGCCGCGGUAAUAC